UACGUAGGGUGCGAGCGUUAAUCGGAAUUACUGGGCGUAAAGCGUGCGCAGGCGGUUCGUUGUGUCGGCGGUGAAAGCCCCGGGCUCAACCUGGGAAUGGCCGUUGAAACUGGCGAACUGGAGUGUGGCAGAGGGGGGUGGAAUUCCGCGUGUAGCAGUGAAAUGCGUAGAUAUCGGGAGGAACACCAGUGGCGAAGGCGACUUCCUGGCCUGUUCUUGACGCUGAGGCGCGAAAGCUAGGGGAGCAAACGGG
rnacentral:rRNA from 1 species